rnacentral:rRNA from 1 species
GGAUGAGAUCGUACCAGUACUAAUGCACCAGAUCCCAUGAGAACUCCGCAAUUUAGCGUACUUGGGCUAGAGUAGUACUAGGAUGGGUCACCUACUGGGAAGUUCUCGUGUUGCACCUC